rnacentral:rRNA from 1 species
GAUGAACGCUGGCGGCGUGCCUAAUACAUGCAAGUCGAGCGAACGGACGAGAAGCUUGCUUUUCUGAUGUUAGCGGCGGACGGGUGAGUAACACGUGGAUAACCUACCUAUAAGACUGGGAUAACUUCGGGAAACCGGAGCUAAUACCGGAUAAUAUUUUGAACCGCAUGGUUCAAAAGUGAAAGACGGUCUCGCUGUCACUUAUAGAUGGAUCCGCGCUGCAUUAGCUAGUUGGUAAGGUAACGGCUUACCAAGGCUACGAUGCAUAGCCGACCUGAGAGGGUGAUCGGCCACACUGGAACGGAGACACGGUCCAGACUCCUACGGGAGGCAGCAGUAGGGAAUCUUCCGCAGUGGGCGAAAGCCUGACGGAGCAACGCCGCGUGAGUGAUGAAGGUCUUCGGAUCGUAAAACUCUGUUAUUAGGGAAGAACAUAUGUGUAAGUAACUGUGCACAGCUUGACGGUACCGAAUCAGAAAGCCACGGCUAACUACGUG